CUUGCAAACUAAAGAUGGCGACCGGCGCACGGGUGAGUAACACGUAUCCAACCUGCCGAUAACUCGGGGAUAGCCUUUCGAAAGAAAGAUUAAUAUCCGAUAGUAUAUUAAAGCCGCAUGGUUUUACUAUUAAAGAAUUUCGGUUAUCGAUGGGGAUGCGUUCCAUUAGUUUGUUGGCGGGGUAACGGCCCACCAAGACUACGAUGGAUAGGGGUUCUGAGAGGAAGGUCCCCCACAUUGGAACUGAGACACGGUCCAA
rnacentral:rRNA from 1 species